rnacentral:rRNA from 1 species
UACGGAAGGCAGCAGUGGGGAAUAUUGCACAAUGGGCGCAAGCCUGAUGCAGCCAUGCCGCGUGUAUGAAGAAGGCCUUCGGGUUGUAAAGUACUUUCAGCGGGGAGGAAGGCGGUGAAGUUAAUAGCUUCACCGAUUGACGUUACCCGCAGAAGAAGCACCGGCUAACUCCGUGCCAGCAGCCGCGGUAAUACGGAGGGUGCAAGCGUUAAUCGGAAUUACUGGGCGUAAAGCGCACGCAGGCGGUCUGUCAAGUCGGAUGUGAAAUCCCCGGGCUUAACCUGGGAACUGCAUUCGAAACUGGCAGGCUAGAGUCUUGUAGAGGGGGUAGAAUUCCAGGUGUAGCGGUGAAAUGCGUAGAGAUCUGGAGGAAUACCGGUGGCGAAGGCGGCCCCUGGGACAAGACUGACGCUCAGGGUGCGAAAGCGUGGGGAGCAAACGAGGAUUAGGAUA